rnacentral:rRNA from 1 species
AACGAACGCUGGCGGCGUGCCUAACACAUGCAAGUCGAGCGCGAAUGGAGCAAUCCUAGUAGAGCGGCGCACGGGUGCGUAACACGUGGGUAAUCUGCCUCAAAGCCCUGGAAUAACCUGCCGAAAGGCUGGCUAAUGCCAGAUAAGCCUACGAGCUCCUCGGAGCUUGAAGGAAAAGGUGGCCUCUGUAUACAAGCUAUCACUUUGAGAUGAGCCCGCGGCCCAUCAGCUCGUUGGCGGGGUAACGGCCCACCAAGGCAACGACGGGUAGCUGGUCUGAGAGGACGAUCAGCCACACUGGAACUGAGACACGGUCCAGACUCCUACGGGAGGCAGCAGUGGGAAUUUUGCACAAUGGCGAAAGCCUGAUGCAGCAACGCCGCGUGUGUGAUGAAGGUCUU